GCCCCCAUCGUCUAACGGUCAGGACGUCAGCUUUUCAAGCUGAAAACAGGAGUUCGAUUCUCCUUGGGGGUACCA
rnacentral:tRNA from 2 species